ACCCGACUGCUAUUUGGGUGAGGAUAAGCCAUGCGAGUUGGAUGGGAUACCUAAACUUCCCAUAGCAAACUGCUUAGUAACACAUGAUCAACUUGCCCUAUGGAGAAAAAUAACCUCGGGAAACUGAGGAUAAUGUUUCAUAGUUGAAUAGGCUUGGAAAAGUUUUUCGAUGAAAGGAAUAAGAUAAAUGGUUCUUAUUUGCCAUAGGAUAGGAUCGUGGUCGAUUAUGGUAGUUGGUGAGAUAACGGCUCACCAAGCCGAUAAUCGAUAGGGGCCGUGAGAACGGGAGCCCCAAGAUGGGUACUGAGACAGCGACCCAGGCCUUACGAGGCGCAGCAGGCGCGAGACCUCCGCAAUACACGAAAGUGUGACGGGGUUACCCAGAGGGGGUGGGGGGGGAACUGUGGUAGGUGAGUAAUGUCCCCUACUAGAAAGGAGAGGGCAAGGCUGGUGCCAGCCGCCGCGGUAAAACCAGCUCUUCAAGUGGUCGGGAUAAUUAUUGGGCUUAAAGUGUCCGUAGCCGGUUUAGUAAGUUCCUGGUAAAAUCGGGUAGCUUAACUAUCUGCAUGCUAGGAAUACUGCUAUACUAGAGGGCGGGAGAGGUCUGAGGUACUACAGGGGUAGGGGUGAAAUCUUAUAAUCCUUGUAGGACCACCAGUGGCGAACGCGUCAGACUGGAACGCGCCUGACNGUGAGGGACGAAAGCCAGGGGAGCGAACCGGAUUAGAUACGUCGGUGCUAGAAUAAUAAAAUAACUANCACCAUGCUNAAAACCCGGGUAGUCCUGGCCGUAANCGAUGCAUACUAGGUGAUGGUACGGCCAUGAGCCGUAUCAGUGCCGUAGGGAAACCGUUAAGUGUGCCGCCUGGGAAGUACGGUCGCAAGGCUAAAACUUAAAGGAAUUGGCGGGGGAGCACCACAAGGGGUGAAGCCUGCGGUUCAAUUGGACUCAACGCCGGGAAACUUACCAGGGGAGACAGUAGAAUGAGGGUCAGGUUGACGACCUUACCUGAUGAGCUGAGAGGAGGUGCAUGGCCGUCGCCAGUUCGUGCCGUGAGGUAUCCUGUUAAGUCAGGCAACGAACGAGAUCCGCGCCUUUAUUUGCCAACAAGAAGUUACGACUUCGUUGGGAACACUAAAGGGACCGCCGUCGAUAAGACGGAGGAAGGAGCGGGCAAAGGCAGGUCAGUAUGCCCCGAAACCCCUGGGCUACACGCGGGCUGCAAUGGUAUGAACAAUGGGCUGUAACUCCGAAAGGAGAACCCAACCCCGAAAUCAUAUCACAGUGGGGAUUGUUGGCUGUAACCCGCCGACAUGAACGUGGAAUCCCUAGUAAUCGUGUGUCAUCAUCGCACGGUGAAUACGUCUCUGCUCCUUGCACACACCGCCCGUCGCUCCAUCCGAGUGUACUAAAAAUGAGGUUUGGUCAGACUGGUCAUAUCGAGUUUCUAGUAUGCGAGGAGGGAG
rnacentral:rRNA from 1 species